UUUUUUUUCGUCCCACCUCCCAUGAUUUUUUUUGGUACCUCGUCCCACCUCACACUAAGCCGCCACGAACCGCAAAAACCGCCUACCUUAGCCAAAUCAACAAAUCUCUCUCAUUAAUGCAAUUUUCUUUAGGAAACAAAUAAUAGAUUCUUUCCUACCUUAGCCAAAUCAACGGAUCUCUUCUAUUAAUGCAAUUUGCUUUAGCAAACAAAUAAUAGAUUCUUUCCUACCUUAGCCAAAUCAACGGAUCUCUCCCAUUAAUGCAAUUUGCUUUAGCAAACAAAUAAUAGAUUCUUUCCUACCUUAGCCAAAUCUACGAAAUCUCUCUCAUUAAUGCAAUUUGCUUUAGGAAACAAAUAAUAGAUUUUCAGGAAACAAAUAAUCUCUAAUCUCUAAUAAUUUCUACUCCUAAUAAAACAGUUGGUAGUCUCCUCCCACCUUCCAUGGUUUUUUUUGGUACCUCCUCCCACCUUCGCUGGUUUUUUUUCGUAGAUUUUUUUCGUCCCCUCCCCUCACUUCAUCGGUUUAUUUUCGCGUCACCCUCUCACACAACGAAAGAAAUCUAAAUAGAUCAGAACUUUUCAUACUGGCGCAAGUUAUUUAGUAAUGUAGAAUCAAUCUCGAACAAUCUCUAAAGAUCAAAUCUAAAUUAAUUAACCUUACCUUAAAUCACUCAAUUACAUUAAUUAGAAAACAAAUAAUUGAUUUUCAAAAAAUUGCUCAAUCACGUAAACCUUACCUUAACUCACGGAUGGUAAUCAAUCUCCAAACAAAGGAAACAAUACAUCGAGGGAGCAGUAAAUAAACUCCCUUUCUUAUGACAUGUAUAUGACCUUUCCUUCCCUCUACGUUGUCGAGCGUUCUUGAUUCUCGAGGCCGGUGCUUGGGCUGCGUCACUGGGUCGCGAUGGUGCUGGAGGACGAGGACGGCGAGGCCGGGUGCCGCGGCACCGCGUUGGCCGCGGCCGGUGAAGGGGGCAAAGAAGGGCGGCUUCCCUGGCCCUGGCCAUGGCCGUGACCCUGGGAGUUGGUGCGGUGGAAGUGGCACUUGAAGGACACGGCGUGGGUGGCCGAUGCGCAGACGCGCUUGGAAGCGGGCCCGUGGCCCAUGCCGGACGGCACCGACGCCGACCCGGACCACCUCCUCCGCGUAUUCUUGGAGCUGUGGCUGGCUGAUUUACAUGAAAUUAAUUCCCUCAGUUGUGGUGGCAAAUGUAAUACACAUAAUCCAUAUUGUUAUGUACUAGCGUGUGUGUGAAAUAGAUGGAUUAUGGUCCCGUACCCAAUAAGAUGGAUAUGUGUGUGUGUUAGAGAGAGAGAGAGAGAGAGAGAGGGAAAGGGGGAGAGAGUGAGGAAGAGGGAGGCAGAGAGUGUGUGUGAGGAAUUGAUGGUAAAAAAGGUCGCCAAUGUCACUUGAUAUAUAUGAGAAUAUUAAUAUUGAACUUUUAAAGUUAAUGUGGUCCCCGUUGCAACGCACGGGUGUUGUUCUAGUUCAUGUAGUGUAUGACAUUUGUGGUCCCUUCUCUAUAUGCUUCGUUUCACGCUUAGUACUGGCCCUCACAAAAGCGUUGUGACGGAGUAGACUGAUGCAGAAGUUCUCUUGGUUGUGGUGGCCUGACCCACAUCAUCGUAAAAAAGGAUUUGCUAUUCCCUCAUUGAUCGACUUAGUUUCUGUUAAGUUUUGCUCAACCAAGCUUAGUAGCCAUUCUUUCCUCUGUUUUUUCGUUAUGUAUAUCUUCUAUUUAUUUUAUUUGUUUUCAACCGCACAAGACAAAGAUCCCACGGUGCACAUGCAUGAGUUUUCGCUCACGCUUUUAAUGAGGAUCAGACUUGUGGUUGUUCAACCAUGGGAUAAAAAUUCAACAGCUCACCGAGCUUUGCUAGAGCUACGGACAAGACUUACGGACCAAGAGUUACAGGCUGAUAUGCCAUAUAUUAAUUGGAAACAGUGGACCCGUAAUUAAAAACCAGGUAGGAAUGGAUUGGCGAGGUGAUGGACAAGUCAGUCCGUAGGGAGUAUUCCGUGCGUUUCAGCCCGUAGGUGUAGAAUUUUCGUUACUGGAACGACUCACGUGCUCAGUACAAGCCUGGCCGCUGCCAUAUGCGCAUGCAAGAGCCAGCCUGCACCAACGCGAAUCCCUUGAAUAAUAGCCGUAGGAUUUUUCUAUCCGACGGUACAUAUUACACCACAAUGAUUGAGGGCCCGAGCAAACCAACUUGAGCCAUUCGAUCAAAACUAUCCAACAGUUUAUAUUGUGAGUUACUCGUAUGUUAUAUCUAUACCACUAUAUAGUGUACGAGUUUUGAAUGGAUUAGAACAGCAAUCCUGAUCGUUGGUGCUCUCAAUCUAACGGUUGGGAGCAGUGGGAUUCGCAUGAACAGUGGCUGCUCCAAACCAAUUUCUAAUAUUUCUAAAAUUUGAUGUGUGACCCACCAUCUGACCAUGCUCUGGAUCUUUCCACUAUGGGCUGGACUACACACUUGUUGCUCUAAAUUAUUUUAUUCGUACUACCUGGGUACAUGCAUGCAACGGCUACAUGCAUGCAUCGACCGCUUCACCAGAGACUAGCAUGCGAGCCUAGCAUUGCAAUGCUGUAUGCAUGGUGAACUUUUUGAUUUUCUUAUUAUUUGAAACAAGUAGUAAGGUAUCUAGGAUAAUUAGAAUGAGAAAAAAAUGUGCAAAUAACCUAUGAAAUAGUACGUUUUGACUUUUUUAUUUUCUUAGCUGACAUGAGAUUGAGAGGGUGAAAAUUUAUAAUUAAUCACACUUCUUCUUUUCACAUCAUUUUUCUAAAAAAAAAGUUUAGUACGAGUCCAAUAAACAGAAGCACUUCCUACACAAUUUUUAUAUAUAAAAGGCCAAAGAUUAUAUCUAAUGUUUCAUACAAAGAAAAUCAUUGUACUAUGUUUAUUGGGGGGAUAGUUGUUAUCUUGCCUUGCGAACCCCAAAAAUGAUUCCACAAAUGCCUAUUGGAUAUCUCAAUUUGAAGCUUCUAUGAACCAAUGUGUGCUUUAGUUUUUUUACACUAAUUUAGUACCAUGCUUAUAUGUAAUCAGCUGACGUGCAAAGCACGUACAAAUUACUAGUAGUAGUAGUAUAGAUAUACAUAUAGAUAUCCUCCCAAUGAAAUCAAAUGUGUAGAUGUACGUGUGUAUCAAACAAAUGGAUUAUCUGGUUAUAUCUUCCGAAUCAAAUCACUGCUGCAGCAGCUUUACAUCUGAUUAUCUGAAACAAAUGGGCUAUCUGGUUACUCUUUGUUUUCGGAAACUGCACGCUUACGCGAUUAUCUGAAACGUUGGCGGCCAAGUCUUGUGUUCUUGCCUACCUGCCCCUACCACCCACUUGCUAGGUCCCCUGUUAAUUGUUGGAAAUAAUGCACCGGUUCAGAGAAUUCCAAGUCUGAUGCUUUGGGCAUAUCCUGUCACGUAACAAACUGAAACUUUAUGCACGUACGUUGCUGGCCGUUCGGCAAGCUGCAACUCCUUCCUGAGUCCUCUGCUAGGACGUGAGCAUUAUCCUGUUGUUCCUCCCGAUUCUCCUGGUUCCUCACAUACCACAAGUGCUGAGCCGCCGUCUGAACGAAGCCGGCCGUGCUGUCCGUCGUGCAACGGCAGCCCGGCGAGCGGCCUCCGUGACUCCGGCCACAUCCUUCGACCCUGCACGGGGGCGGUCUAGAGUUUUCUGGGCAGCACCCGCGCGACCGCUCCUUCGCCGUCCUCGACGACAUCAUCUCCGCUUCGUCGACGUCCUCGACAACAUCGUCUCCGGUGACCGCUGCUUCCUCAACGUCCUCAUCGACAUCAUAUCUGCGACCGCUGCUUCCUCUACGAGAUCGUCUCCGACAAACUCCAUCCACGAACACCAGUGCACCGACUUCUAGACUGUAAGUUGCAUCUGCUCAUUUCUAGUAAAAGAUAAAUCCGUCCAUGUUCUAGCCGUUCUCCAUCAGGUUUAUCCAGUGCUUUAGACUGUUUUCUGCUCCUGCUGCUGGUGGUUUCAGCCAUGUCCUCUGUGUUCGAUAGAUUCAGUAUCUCUGUUUUAAUCUGCCUGUACUACUACUCGGCCGACACUAGUAUGGUAUAUAGUCCUAGCUCGUUACGUGAUGUUUUCUUUUGCAUGCUAAUUAUACAUGGUUGGGUGCUAUCAAUCUGCUCAUUUCUGAAUCUAUGUUGCAUGCUUCUGAAGAAAACCAUUUGGCUGUUUAACCUGCUCCUGUACGUACUAGUUAAAGGAAUUAAAUUGAUGACAAAUUAUGUAUUGUUUCUAGCAUUAAUAUGGGCUUUCGUCCCCUGUUAAUGAUUAAAAAUUCAGGUGAGGAAAAAUUCUCCCCUGGUGAAAUUUCAAAGAAAAAUUGCCGGGAGAUCCAAACCAUUUCAGAUCCUUGAUUUGUAAGUGGUCAAUUAUCAGCAUCAAUUUCGAAUGCAAGCUUUAAGUUUCUUGAAGUAGCAAAACGUUGUUAAUCAAGUUUUGCCACGCACACAAACACAGCUUACAUGCCUAUGAAAUUAGUUUCACCAUAGAAAAAGGCUGGCCAUACUUUCUUUACUACCCAAGUGGAGCUCCACUUCUCAAUAAGGAUCAAACUAUUUGUUUCAGGCAAGCAUUCGUGCAAAACUUUCAGAGAUGCAAAACCACCUUCCCAGCUUUAAGCCCGAGAAGAAACUGAUUAAACAUGUUGGAAACAAGAAUCCACAGCGACAGUCGUCCAUUCAAGCAGCAAGAUAACUAUUUAUUCAGGCAGCACCAUUGUUACAGGAUGACACUGUCAGAACACACACAGCUAGCUACAGAACUCAUCAGACAGGGAACAGGAAAGAAACACAAGAACUAAUGCACGAGGAGCCUAGGACGAGGUGAACUUGGUGACGGCCUUGGUGCCCUCGGAGACGGCGUGCUUGGCGAGCUCGCCAGGGAGGACGAGGCGGACGGAGGUCUGGAUCUCGCGGGACGUGAUGGUGGGCUUCUUGUUGUAGCGCGCGAGCUUGGCGGACUCACCGGCGAGCUUCUCAAAGAUGUCGUUG
rnacentral:lncRNA from 1 species